rnacentral:rRNA from 1 species
CCUACGGGGGGCAGCAGUGAGGAAUAUUGGUCAAUGGACGAGAGUCUGAACCAGCCAAGUAGCGUGAAGGAUGACUGCCCUAUGGGUUGUAAACUUCUUUUAUAUGGGAAUAAAAUGUUCCACGUGUGGGAUUUUGUAUGUACCAUAUGAAUAAGGAUCGGCUAACUCCGUGCCAGCAGCCGCGGUAAUACGGAGGAUCCGAGCGUUAUCCGGAUUUAUUGGGUUUAAAGGGUGCGUAGGUGGAUUGUUAAGUCAGUUGUGAAAGUUUGCGGCUCAACCGUAAAAUUGCAGUUGAAACUGGCAGUCUUGAGUACAGUAGAGGUGGGCGGAAUUCUUGGUGUAGCGGUGAAAUGCUUAGAUAUCACGAAGAACUCCGAUUGCGAAGGCAGUUCACUGGACUGCAACUGACACUGAGGCUCGAAAGUGUGGGUAUCAAACAGGAUUAGAUACCCGGGUAGUC